AAGCAAAAACUUCCCCCUCCCCAACUUCAAGGGUGGUCAUGGGCUGCGUACCCUCCCCAGCCUCCAUCGCCUCCUUAUGAGAUUUAUUAGGAAGCCACUCUGCGCCACACGUAGUAUUUGCCCACAGCCGCCCAAUUCAUCGUAUAACUUGAUGGCCAUCGAAACCCUAACUUCCUCUUCAUCGUCAAACUGCAACGACGACGACCGCCUAUGUUCCGAACCACAAGGAGAACCAGAAGGAGAGACAGCCCAUUUGGACGGCCUCCCGGCCCCAAAUCCAAACGGGUACUUGAGCACAGAGUCGCGGAUCGAGAGAGCCUGGGCACACUGGAAGAAGCUUGGGCAACCUAAGUUCAUAGUGGCCCCCAUGGUCGACAACUCCGAGCUCCCCUUCCGCAUGCUUUGCCGCAAGUACGGAGCUCAAGCUGCUUAUACCCCUAUGCUUCACUCUCGUAUUUUUACCGAAACUGAAAAGUACCGCUCUCAAGAAUUUACCACCUGCAAGGAGGACCGUCCGCUAUUUGUGCAAUUUUGUGCGAAUGAUCCAGAUAUAUUGUUGGAGGCUGCGCGGAGAGUAGAACCCUACUGCGAUUAUGUAGACAUCAAUUUGGGAUGUCCGCAGCGUAUCGCUAGGCGAGGGAAUUAUGGAGCUUUCCUUAUGGACAAUCUUCCUUUGGUUAAAUCUAUGGUAGAAAAACUAGCAAACAACCUUAGUGUUCCAAUCUCCUGCAAAAUACGACUUUUCCCGAAUUUGGAAGACACAAUCAAUUAUGCCAAGAUGUUGGAAGAUGCUGGUUGUGCUCUUUUGGCAGUACAUGGUCGGACUAGGGAUGAAAAAGAUGGGAAGAAAUUUCGUGCCAAUUGGAGUGCCAUCAAGGCUGUUAGAGAUGUCAUGAGAAUCCCUGUUCUGGCUAAUGGGAAUAUAAGAUACAUGGAAGAUGUGCAGAGCUGUUUGGAAGAGACUGCGGUUGAGGGGGUACUUUCAGCUGAGUCUCUGCUGGAAAACCCAGCCCUCUUUGCUGGAUACCGUACUGUCGAAUGGGUAUCAGGAAGUGAUGAUAUCUGUGUAGAUGGAAAACUGGACCAGGCGGAUUUACUAGUUGAAUAUUUAAAGUUUUGUGAGAGUUAUCCAGUGCCAUGGAGAAUGAUUCGUUCCCAUGUGCAUAAGAUGCUAGGAGAUUGGUUCAGGGUACAUCCAAAUGUAAGAGAUGACCUUAAUGCACAAUCAAAACUCACAUUUGAGUUUCUCUACGACGUGGUUAAUCGACUUAGGGAUCUUGGUGUGAGGAUACCACUGUAUGUGAAGGAUAGCAGAGUGGAGAGGGCAUCUGCAAAUGGAUUUGCGACAUGAGAUUUAUGGUCCUGGAAGAGAUUUCAUAUUUGAGGCUUGCUGUAGUAUAGAAUUCUGCCAAAGUGGUGUCUGAGGAGGUUGAGUUACACUGUUAUUCUUUCUACUGCUAGUCAAUAGCUGUUAGCUUGCUACUAGUGGAAGUAAUGCCCGAGUGGUUGAAUGAGGAGGUUAACAGCAUGAGAGUUGAUUCCUCUUGAUUCUUCCUGUGACAUGUGAUGAGAGUAGUGGUUUUCAUCUAUCCUAUCAGUAGCAUUUAGACGUCUCUUUGUAGACAAAAGUGCAAUAAAAUCUAGAGUGUUGGCAAAACUGUGUGCGCCAGUGUCGGACAAGUUAGAAACCAUACGAGUGCCACUGACAGUUGAAAUUUCAUGCGACACGUUUAGCUGCCUUGUUUUCUACUUUCCUCUUUUAUCUUUUUGCUGCUUCACUAUCUGACAUAGGCUGCAGAUUGGAUGGUCAUCAUUGUUGAAGGCAAAGCUUUAGGAAUUUUAAAGGAAUACUUUGGUGGUGAAAUUGUGCCAGAAAAUUUAAAAACCUUAACUUGGUAGAUUCGUGAACCCUUUUUUUUUUUUGGCCCUAGUUUGCAUUAAAAUAGUAAAAGAUGGAAUGAAAAUAGAACUCUUCCAGAGAAGACAGCAGAAAAGGGCAGCUAUAGAACUCUGGGAAAGGCAGAGUGGAACCUAUUGGUCCCUCUUGAAGAUAUUUGUUUAAUUUUCCUUGGCAUCUGAGUAGCCUGUAAAGAUAUAUUAGGGGAACAGUUUGUUAGUGCAGAUACAAAAUUGAGUGUAAAAUGUUUAUGCCGGUGAGAAUAGACGAUUGGGGAUGCACAUGUCAACUGCGACACAGUAGGAACAUCAAGGAGGAAGUGCACAUGCACAAGAUUGGAAGGAUGUAUUGACGAUUGGGAUGGCUCCUCCGGAAUUGCAUUGGGAGGGCAAUUGUCCUAGGAAAUAAUAGUAAGAGGACAGAUCCUCGUUGAAAGGUCAAUCAUGCGAAGUUUUGUCCUACUGGUUACUAUCUCUUUCACUUUUCUGGCGGCCUGCCUUUUGAGCUGUCUCGAACCUGCUGCGCCGGAUGUGUCGGUUGCCUUUUGUAAAAGGGGAGCGCUGGGCAACGGACUUGCUGGUUUUGAAAGGGAACGGAUUCACAGCCGCUUCAUCCUGCCAAGUCCGUCGUGUUAUUGGACAUCAUCGAUGUAUUAUUCUUUCUUUUUUCUUUUAAAGUGAAAGUGUUGCUCUUAUUUAUAGAGUAGAUCGGAGUAAAGAUAGCUGUAG